AUCGGAGUAAAAGUAUUUAAUUCAUCGAAAAUAUGUAGCAAAAGUAAAAGUAAAAGUGGAAGUAGGAGAAAAAAAUAAUACUCCAGUAGAGUACAGAUACAGCCUUUUAGUACUUAAGUAGAGUAGUGAAGUAGUUCUACUUUGUUACUAUACAGCUCUGGAUGAUACUAACCUGAUACAA